rnacentral:rRNA from 1 species
GAGAUUUCCCAUUUCUUCAAGAAAGUAAGACACCUCAGAGACGAUGAGGUAGAUAGGCCGGGAGUGGAAGAGCCGUGAGGCUUGGAGCGGACCGGUACUAAUCAGUCGAGGACUUGACCAAAA